AAAGCUCCGGCGGUGGAGGAUGAGCCCGCGGCCUAUCAGCUGGUUGGUGAGGUAACGGCUCACCAAGGCGACGACGGGUAGCCGGCCUGAGAGGGCGACCGGCCACACUGGGACUGAGACACGGCCCAGACUCCUACGGGAGGCAGCAGUGGGGAAUAUUGCACAAUGGGCGCAAGCCUGAUGCAGCGACGCCGCGUGGGGGAUGACGGCCUUCGGGUUGUAAACCUCUUUCAGCAGGGAAGAAGCCCUAGGGUGACGGUACCUGCAGAAGAAGCGCCGGCUAACUACGUGCCAGCAGCCGCGGUAAUACGUAGGGCGCAAGCGUUGUCCGGAAUUAUUGGGCGUAAAGAGCUCGUAGGCGGCUUGUCACGUCGGGUGUGAAAGCCCGGGGCUUAACCCCGGGUCUGCAUUCGAUACGGGCUGGCUGGAGUGUGGUAGGGGAGAUCGGAAUUCCUGGUGUAGCGGUGAAAUGCGCAGAUAUCAGGAGGAACACCGGUGGCGAAGGCGGAUCUCUGGGCCAUUACUGACGCUGAGGAGCGAAAGCGUGGGGAGCGAACAGGAUUAGAUACCCUGGUAGUCCACGCCGUAAACGGUGGGAAC
rnacentral:rRNA from 1 species